rnacentral:lncRNA from 1 species
GUGGGGUUGGAUCGAUCAAGCAGAAGGAGAACAAGGUGAAACCCUUGUUCUCCAAAUUCAGCAAAUUGAAGAGGAAAUUCAAGGAUAAUCCAAUGCAUGAACUUCGAUUUACACUCAUCUAAACUCGAUUAUUGAAGUGGCGUGAAAGAAGAAAGUUCAAGCACUAAGAAAACGGAAGACACGCAUGAUCGAGGUAAAGCACCUCUAUAGGCGAUUUGGAGGUAUGGGACGAGCACAUGUUCAAGCCUUAUAAUAC